UCGACUGUCUAGCAAGAGUUCAACCCAAAUAUGGGUACCUCCCACAACAAAUGGAUUCCAAGUAAUAGUAAUGUUAUUUCCACAUAACACAAGUACCAAAAAUAUUGAAACAUUCAAAAUACUUGAAAUUUGGACUUUGAAAGCAAAGGAAGAGGAUAAAUAUUAAAUUGGAACCCUAAAUAAUUUUUUCCCUCAACAUUAGUGUUGGCACAUGUUACGUGUGCAUAUAUGCAUCACUAAUAGAAGAUGUAUAAAAAAGGAGAAAAUUAAAAUUUAUGGUAUGAAAUUGCAAAAAGUUGGGGAAAAACAUUUCUAAUCAUAACACAACCAAAAAUUAUUCAAAAUGUCCAAAAAAAUUACUGAAUAUCAAAAGGAUUUUUACCUCUUUCUAAUCCAAGCCCCAUCUCUUAUUUUAAACCAAGCAAAAAGCUCCAUUUUUCGCAUCUCAUAAACCCCCUACAGAUAAAAAUAUCACAAAAACUGAGUAAAAAAAAACAAGAAUUUUCUCUCUUGGAUUGAAACCCGUAAUGAGAGAAAUGAGAGAGAGAGAGAGAGAGUAAGUGAGAGAGUUAGAGUUAAAGUUGUUUGAAUGAGAGAACUAAACUUUAUCUAUUUUUUUUCCAACUUUUCAUCUAUGACAUUGACAAGAUUUUUGUAAAAUUUCUUCCAUUGGGUCAAAUCUCAUUUAAUUAGGACAUGUAUGAAAUUUGAAAUUAUUUUCAGGGGCAAAUAUGUCUUAAAUUGACAUUCUUGCAAUGUUUUAAAAAAAUUGACAUUUUUGUAAAUAUCUUGAGAAAAAUUGACAUUCUGUGCAAUUUCCUCUUUUUCUUACUCCAAUGCUCCAAAGGCCAUCUACAGUUAAUUUAGUCUAAUUUUUAUUUUUAUUGUUUUACAGCUCUUAGUUAUUGUCUUUUAUUUAAGCAUAAUUAGCACAAAUCAUUCAUACUUUUCAUUUUUUAACAUUUUCACACCCAUUUUCACCUCCUUUUCUCAAUUAAAAAGAAGAAAAAAAAGUCAAAUGUCAAAUAUACCGUCCUUUUUUAUAUAAUUGAAAGGUUGGGAUGGAUAAGUUUGCCAUAUUUUGCGAAGACUAAUAAGGAUAAAAAGAAAAACUGUCCUUCUAUAAAUUAAAACUCACCAUGCCUUCACAAACUGCUUCUUCAAAAUGAUGAUGGAAGUUACACUUUAUCUCGAAAUAGCUGUUCCAAUGGGCUUCUCUCUUGUGGCUACGGGAUACUCGUUGUUUCUAAGGCGUCGUCGAGACAACGGUAAUGACACCCCCUCUUGUAAUAACGUUCAGAUCAUAGGCAUCAAUGUUUGAUUUUUUACUUCUGCUAUGGUUGUCAGCAGGUAUCAAUUAUUUCAAACCUUUGUUUGAUAGAUAUGUAUAUUUGUAUGUGCUUAUCUCGUCUUUAACUAUAUAUGAAUGCAUCUCUAUCUCUUUCGUUAGUGCUUCUUUCCAUGAAAUACAAAAUAUGAGGUUUGUUCCGUCCACGUUGUAUUGCAGCCUAGUUAGUACUGACGUGCACUUUCGAAAUAAAAGGGAGAUUAUUGAACAUCCUAUCGUCAUAAGAAACAAAAAAAUAAUGUAAUGUUUAUUUUUUUUACUUUCGCUAUGGUUGGAAGCUUAUACGUAAGCAUAUAUGUUUAUGUUUUAGCUUAUGAUGAUCAAGCUGGAGUUUUAAAGCUAUCCAUUAUUUGAAGAUACUUACUUUAUGCAUCUUGCCUUUGGUGAUGUAAUUUUAACUGUUGUAUGUAAAACCAGGUUUCUUCCUUCUUCUGCGUUAACCAGUUUACAAAAUAUGAGGUUUGUUUGGGUGGUAUUGGGCCUUGUCACCCCAAAAGCUAACUCAAAAAGUCAGAUUUUCCCUCGCACUAGUCCCUUCCACAAUCGAUAUAGACAACCUUAACAAUCUCCCCCUCACAUAUCGAGAGACUAAACUCAUCUCCCCCUUACACAUUGGACCUUGCAGGAGAGUAGUGUUGACAUACACUUUGAAAUAAAGAAUUAAAAGGAGUUUUAAAACUAUCCAUUAUUUCAAGAUACUUACUUUACGCAUCUCUGUAAGCAUCUUGCCUUUGAUGAUGUGAUUUUAACUGUUGGAUGUAAAACCAGGUUUUUUCAUAAACAACAAUUUUCGUUGUUGGGUUAUAUCUAAUUAUCUAUCUCUUUUGUUAAUGCUCUACUGGGUUUCUUCAAUAAGAACAGUUCUCGUUGUUGGAUUAUAUAUAUCGGCGCCUUUGCAUCUCUUUCAUUAAAUGCUUCUUCUUCGUUAAAUUCAUCGACCAGUUUCCAUGAAAUACAAAAUAUGAGGUUUGUUCCAUCACUGCCAUCCAAGUCGUAUUGCAGCUAGUACUGUUAUAAUGUGUAGACGUACACUUUUGAAAUAAAGAAUUAAAAGGAGAUUAUUGAACAUCAUAUCUUCAAAAGAAACAAAAAAUAAUCUAAUGUUUAUUUUUAAUAAGACCAAUGUACGUAGUUCGUAUUUAUAUAUACUCCAAAACGAAUUAUAGGGAUCAUCUUAUUCAUGGGGCCCAUAUCGAGCACGCAAGGGUGCAAUCACCGGUGAGGAUGACCUCACGGUCGUUUGGCUUUUUCCAAUAUAUAAAAUCACUUCCAUUUUCGUUAGUCAAUUUGAUACUAUUGAUAACGAAUUGACUUG
rnacentral:lncRNA from 1 species